CAGGUAGGACUACCCGCUGAACUUCAGCAUAUCAAUUAGCGGAGGAAAAGAAACUAACAAGGAUUCCCCUAGUAACUGCGAGUGUAGCGGGAAACGUUCAAUUUAAAAUCUGAUGGUCUUUAUGGCCUUCCGAUUUGUAAUCUAGAGAAGUGCCGGUAUAGCCUAG
rnacentral:rRNA from 1 species